UACAGAGGUCUCAAGCGUUGUUCGGAUUCAUUGGGCGUAAAGGGUGUGUAGGUGGCGCACUAAGUCGGGUGUGAAAUUUCGGAGCUUAACUCCGAAACUGCAUUCGAUACUGGCGUGCUUGAGGACUGGAGAGGAGACUGGAAUUUACGGUGUAGCAGUGAAAUGCGUAGAUAUCGUAAGGAAGACCAGUGGCGAAGGCGGGUCUCUGGACAGUUCCUGACACUGAGACACGAAGGCCAGGGGAGCAAACGGG
rnacentral:rRNA from 1 species